rnacentral:lncRNA from 1 species
UGACCCUGUGAAAAGCCAGUCCAACGACAAAUGCAGAGGGCAUCCUGUUGCCUGGCAUGACCCUGACAGCUCCUACCCCCAAGAGUUUGAGAUCUUGACGUGUGGCUCCAUUCUUCUUCAGCGUUUGGAAACUACUCAGCAUACAUCCAGGCUACUGUAAACAUGUAAUAAGAAAACUUCUUUACCAUUCCUCUUCUUGGGCUGACCUUUCCAUCAGGCUCCACUCUUCCUGUGUUUUUCUGCUCACAGCCUCAGGACCUUUUACAACAAGAUGUUGAAUGUUGCAGUGCAUCCGUGUGCCUUGUGUUGU